rnacentral:rRNA from 1 species
GACGAACGCUGGCGGCGUGCUUAACACAUGCAAGUCGAACGGAAAGGCCCUGCUUUUGUGGGGUGCUCGAGUGGCGAACGGGUGAGUAACACGUGAGUAACCUUCCCUUGACUUUGGGAUAACUUCAGGAAACUGGGGCUAAUACCGGAUAGGAGCUCCUGCUGCAUGGUGGGGGUUGGAAAGUUUCGGCGGGUGGGGAUGGACUCGCGGCUUUUCAGCUUGUUGGUGGAGUAGUGGCUUACCAAGGAUGGGACGGGUAGCCGGCCUGAGAGGGUGACCGGCGACAUUGGUACUGAGGUACGGCCCAGACGCCUACGGGAGGCAGCAGUGGGGAAUAUUGCACAAUGGGGGGAAGCCUGAUGCAGCGACGCCGCGUGCGGGAUGACGGCCUGCGGGUUGUAAACCGCUUUCGCCUGUGACGCAGCGUGAGUGACGGUAAUGGGUAAAGAAGCACCGGCUAACUACGUG